AAAAAGGGCUUCUGUCUUGAGUGACACACAUAGGGCAGCUCAUUUGCUCUAUGUGCGGAACUGACAUCAAGAGACUUCGGAAGCAUAAUUUUUGUUGAUUGGGCAGCUGGUGAUCAUUGAUCCAA
ensembl:snRNA